rnacentral:rRNA from 1 species
UGGGGAAUAUUGGACAAUGGGCGCAAGCCUGAUCCAGCCAUGCCGCGUGAGUGAUGAAGGCCUUAGGGUUGUAAAGCUCUUUCGACGGGGACGAUAAUGACGGUACCCGUAGAAGAAGCCCCGGCUAACUUCGUGCCAGCAGCCGCGGUAAUACGAAGGGGGCUAGCGUUGCUCGGAAUCACUGGGCGUAAAGCGCACGUAGGCGGAUCUUUAAGUCAGAGGUGAAAUCCCAAGGCUCAACCUUGGAACUGCCUUUGAUACUGGGGAUCUCGAGUCCGGAAGAGGUGAGUGGAACUGCGAGUGUAGAGGUGAAAUUCGUAGAUAUUCGCAAGAACACCAGUGGCGAAGGCGGCUCACUGGUCCGGUACUGACGCUGAGGUGCGAAAGCGUGGGGAGCAAACA